rnacentral:rRNA from 1 species
GACGUAGGGCGCGAGCGUUGUCCGGAUUUAUUGGGCGUAAAGAGCUCGUAGGCGGCUUGUCGCGUCGUUCGUGAAAACCUGCAGCUCAACUGCAGGCUUGCGGUCGAUACGGGCAGGCUAGAGUUCGGUAGGGGAGACUGGAAUUCCUGGUGUAGCGGUGAAAUGCGCAGAUAUCGGGAGGAACACCAAUGGCGAAAGCAGGUAACUGGACUAUUACUGACACUAAACUGCGAAAGCUAGGGGAGCAAACAGG